UACGGAGGGUGCAAGCGUUAUCCGGAAUCACUGGGUUUAAAGGGUGCGUAGGCGGUUCGGUAAGUCCGUCGUGAAAUUCCAUGGCUUAACCAUAGGGACUGCGAUUGAUACUGCCAAACUUGAAUCAGGUUGAGGUCGGCGGAAUGUGACAUGUAGCGGUGAAAUGCUUAGAUAUGUCAUAGAACACCGAUUGCGAAGGCAGCUGGCUGGGCCUGAAUUGACGCUGAGGCACGAAAGCGUGGGGAGCAAACAGG
rnacentral:rRNA from 1 species